UGCGUAGACGGUUAUUUAAGUCGGGUGUGAAAGCCCCGGGCUCAACCUGGGAAUUGCAUUCGAGACUGAAUAGCUAGGGUACGGUAGAGGGAAGCGGAAUUUCCGGUGUAGCGGUGAAAUGCGUAGAUAUCGGAAGGAACAUCAGUGGCGAAAGCGGCUUCCUGGACCGGUACCGACGUUCAGGCACGAAAGCGUGGGGAGCAAACA
rnacentral:rRNA from 1 species